CGUUCCCGGGCCUUGUACACACCGCCCGUCACACCACGAAAGUUGCCACUACCAGAAGUCGGUGCCCUAACCCGCAAGGGACGGAACCGCCCAAGGUAUUGGUAGUGAUUGGGGUG
rnacentral:rRNA from 1 species